GUGGGGAAUAUUGGGCAAUGGGGGCAACCCUGACCCAGCGACGCCGCGUGAGGGAAGAAGGCCUUAGGGUCGUAAACCUCUGUUGUGUGGGAAGAAGGAAGUGACGGUACCACACGAGGAAGUCCCGGCUAACUACGUGCCAGCAGCCGCGGUAAUACGUAGGGGACGAGCGUUGUCCGGAAUUACUGGGCGUAAAGGGCGCGUAGGCGGUCAUUUAAGUCAGCUGUGAAAUGGUCCGGCUCAACCGGAUCAUGCGGUUGAAACUGGAUGACUGGAGUGCUGGAGAGGCAAGUGGAAUUCCCAGUGUAGCGGUGAAAUGCGUAGAUAUUGGGAAGAACACCGGUGGCGAAGGCGACUUGCUGGCCAGCAACUGACGCUGAGGCGCGAAAGCCAGGGGAGCAAACGGGAUUAGAAACCCCUGUAGUCC
rnacentral:rRNA from 1 species